AUUGAACGCUGGCGGCAGGCCUAGCACAUGCAAGUCGAGCGGAUGAAGGGAGCUUGCUCCUGGAUUCAGCGGCGGACGGGUGAGUAAUGCCUAGGAAUCUGCCUGGUAGUGGGGGAUAACGUCCGGAAACGGGCGCUAAUACCGCAUACGUCCUGAGGGAGAAAGUGGGGGAUCUUCGGACCUCACGCUAUCAGAUGAGCCUAGGUCGGAUUAGCUAGUUGGUGGGGUAAAGGCCUACCAAGGCGACGAUCCGUAACUGGUCUGAGAGGAUGAUCAGUCACACUGGAACUGAGACACGGUCCAGACUCCUACGGGAGGCAGCAGUGGGGAAUAUCGGACAAUGGGCGAAAGCCUGAUCCAGCCAUGCCGCGUGUGUGAAGAAGGUCUUCGGAUUGUAAAGCACUUUAAGUUGGGAGGAAGGGCAGUAAGUUAAUACCUUGCUGUUUUGACGUUACCAACAGAAUAAGCACCGGCUAACUUCGUG
rnacentral:rRNA from 1 species